GAAAUAUUUGGUUUUGUCUCUUAACGCUUGCUUAAUGGUGAACUUGGCACGCGAUUAUUUCUUUUGGCAUCUCUUAUAAGCGCAUUUAUAACCAUUACAGCAGUCAUUGUUUCCUUUACAUGUCCUUCCUCGACAUUGCUGGCAGGAUCCGUAGAUACAUCCCCAAUUAUUACAGCAUUGACGGCUGUUUCUACAUGAUCUUUUACAACUUUUAGGCUUGCAUCUCCCUUUAACACAGUUGAAGUUAUUACAACAUUUCUUAUACUGGCAGUUAUCUCCGUUGCUUCCGCAUGGUGCGGCUCGUUUCACUAGG
rnacentral:lncRNA from 1 species